CAUAAUUCCUGCCAUUCACCUAGAAAGAACGAUUAACUUAAGUUGUGUCUUAUUCUUUCAAUUCCUCAUGUUUGCCGUCAUCUCCGCUGUUGGCCUGUCUACUGCUGAAAUUUAAAUCGCAAUAACACCAGCAGAGAUCCGAGCCCAGCGUGUUCUGGUGUGCCUGUUCAUGCGCACCCCCCACCAGAUAGCGCCCCCCACACAAGUGCCAGAAGUGGGAUCUCUGCUUCCAGCCAGCCAGUAGCGGAGGUUCAAGGAGUCCUCAGUAACAUCAGAGUCAUCAAAAUGGCAACCUAUGUGCUGGUACGAUUGCCUAUCGAGGAGAAAGUCAGGAAGUUCUCCCUGGUGGAAGGCCGCUUGCCCCUUCAAAGCCUGAAGCGAUGCUACGUGAAUGCUACCAGCCUGAUUCACAGAGCUGAUAAGGACAAUGAACUGAUCCUGCCAAUUUUGAAUGGAGCCAUUCUCCCUCCAGAGGGGGAUGGGAAGUGGAAGGAGAGUAUGCACCAUUGAUUACCUCAGUUGUGGCCAAGACAGAACAGUCCCAUACUAAGUCUGUGUCAGAGGACCUCCUCCGUGUGCUUGUGACCAGACCGCCCCAAGUUGUGAUAGCCCCUAACUGCAAGCUUCCGAUAUUCGAAGGGAGGGACGACGUAAAAUCUGUGCAAAUUGUUGACUUUGUUGCAGCAAUGAACCAUGCUUAUGAGAGAUACCACAUUCCAGAGGACCAGCGUGGGCAGUUUUUGCUGGGUGCACUUCGAGGUGGCCCAAAGGUUGAAGUCUGGUCAUUGCUGUCAUCUGGGAAAACAGCUAAAGAGGCUUUGGAAUACUUGGCAAUCUCCUAUAGUGAGAUCUUGAUGAGGGGAGAACUGCAGCAGAAAUGCCUGGAACGAUGCCAGCAACGGGGUGAGUCCCUUUGUCAGUUUAGCGUGGAACUACAGCGGCUCUUCUACCGACUGGUGAAGCGAGACUCUGGACAAGAACCCAGACGUCAUCAUACGGGAGCAGUUUGUGGAUGGCAUCGAACAGGAGGGACUGAGCCACUCCUGUCGAGAUUUUGUUGCUCCUAAUCCAUCUGUCUCCUUUGGAAAAGUCAAGGACUGGGCCAUAAAGCUGGAGGAACGGGAAAUGGCCCGGACACAGACUACAACCCCUCAAAGUAGCUGAGGGGAAACCUGAUGCCAUCGAGCGACUGGAGAAACAAUGCAAGAGAUCAUGGUGUCUGUAAAAUCCCCUUCUUAGAAGAUUUCAUUCGCUGGGAGGCUGCCUCCACCGAUGAACCCCCAAGGUUCUCCCGCACCGACUAGUGUCAUGACAUCCAGAUUUUGAGAACACUAGACCAACUGCUCCACCUUCCCACAGCCCAGGGUUUUCGACCCUCCAAUUUCUGCACCAACUCAGUCCCCUGCAAGGUGUUUUAGUUGUGGCCAACCUGGAUAUUUUGCAAGAACUUGUCUCAACUCUGCUCGACAUCACCACAAUUCCACACCCACUGCACCACCUCGAGCUGAGGAGACUUCGGGAAACUAAUGCAUCCUACUGUUGAGAGCCAAACAGUGGGGAAUUGUAGAGCUGGCUCAACUCAUGACCUGUCUGCAUUUCAAGCCCGUGCUGCAUCAGAAUGUUAUACAGUCAAUGUCAGGUUUGAAAAUCAAACUGGUCCUUGCCUAUUGGACACCGGAUCCAUGGUCACCACAAUCACCAAGGACUACUUUGACGGAACACUGGCACUAGAUUGUGUGCAACUGGAAAGUAUUCCUGAUAAGUUCAAGCUCGUCUCGGCAAAUGGCACCAACAUCCCCUAUGUAGUCUGUUUCAAGACAAGUGUGGAAUUGGUGGAAAGGACUGUUGACUUCAGACUCGAACUAGUCAUACAAGGGGUCAGGCCAAACUCGAGCCCGUCAAAUGUGCCAGGCAUUGUGGGGAUGAACAUUCUAGGGGACUGUUGGUCUCGACUGAUAAGCAGUCAUGGUCAGUGGUGGUGUUGGACCGAUUUGGCAAAAGAUGCUGCAGACAGUUGCGAAGCGCAAAGCUUUCGAUAACAUCCAGUCUACAAUUGGAAAGGUACACUUGAAGAACGGAGCCCCACUAAUAGUACCGGCCAGGCAAGCGGUGGUUGUUGAGGCCUCAGCACGGAGAGCCCCAGGAAAUGUUGACUAUGAAGCAGUUCUUGAACCCCUGCAAUGCACCAAUACUCCACGGGGUGUGCAAGCAGUGAGGGGACUGGUGACAGUUUCUUCAGGAAAGUUGGCAGUGGUUUUGAUGAUUGAAACCGACCAGGACCUCCAAUUGCCAGAAGGAAGCUGUUAGGGUACCUUUUAUCAUGGAGACAUUAUGGAGGAGAUCCGGACGGAGGAGGCUGAGGCAACCCAGACUUCACACAUCCUCACCCAGGCAUGCGGGCCACCCACACCAGACCCACCUUCCACUCCGGAUGUUCAAAUUGGUAGAGGGCUGGCCAAAGAACAACUUGACAGUUUUCACUUUCUUCUGCACGAAUUUGAUGACGUAUUUGCCAAGGGAGAAGGAGACUUGGGUUACACCGACACUGUCCGACAUCGAAUUGACACCGGGGACACCCCUCCAAUCCAUCAACGCUACCGCUCACUUCCCCCCUCCCAGUGCAAGGAAGUUCGGGCCCAUAUAUAGAAAUUACUGGAGGCUGGCAUUAUUCGUGAAAGUUCCAGCCCGUGGGCCUCUCCCAUCGUCGUCGUUCGGAAGAAAGAUCAAUCAAUAAGGCUAUGUAUUGACUACCGCCGGUUGAAUGCAGCUACGGUGAAGACCUCUUUCCCCCUGCCAAGGAUUGACGAGACCCUGCAGACGCUGGGUGGAGCCAAGUUCAUGAGUGUGCUUGACCUUGCUUCAGGAUACCAUCAGGUAGCUGUUGAGGACCGAGACAUUGAGAAAACAGCCUUUACAACACCCUUCGGGCUAUUCGAGUACAUGAGGAUGCCUUUCAGCCUGUGCAACGGCCCUGCAACAUUCCAGCACCUCAUGUAAAGAUGUCUGGGAGACCAAGUGUUGGAGUCCGUUCUCAUCUACCUAGAUAACAUCAUAGUGUUUUCAACCACGUUUGAUGAACACAUUGCACGUCUGCAGGUGGUUUUCAACCGAUUGCGCCAUUACUGGUUAAAGGUCAAGCCCCAGAAGUGUUCUUUCUUCAAAAAGGAGGUUAAUUAUCUGGGGCAUUUAGUUGUGGCAGGUGAAGGCAUCAGGGCUGACCCUGACAAGGUGGCUGUCAUCCAGGACUGGCCAGUACCGACAACUUUGACUGAGCUCAGGAGCUUUCUGGGGUUCACCGGGUAUUUUUGCAAGUUCAUCUGUGAUUACUCCAGUUUGGAGUACCAAAGAGAAGAAAUGGACUGGAUGCAAGAAACUUAACCUUGAUGGCGAAGCACUGAAGGCAUUCCAGUCUCUGAAGUCGUCACUCCUACAUGCACCAGUUCUCGCUUUUGCUGAUUUUAGUCGUCCAUUCAUUGUGGAGAUAGAUGCCAGCUCUCUGGGUCUGGGAGCCAUACUCUUUCAACAACAGGAUGACGGGUCUAAGCAAGUCAUUGCUUACGCCUCCAGGUCACUCUGACCAACAGAACGAAAUUACAAGAAUUACUCCGCCUUCAAGUUGAAACUGCUGGCUAUACGAUGGGCAGUAUGCCAAGUUUUCCGAGACUACCUCAUGGGAAACAAAAGUACCGUAAACACUGAUCAUCCCCCUUGAAGUUUUUGAACUCCGCAAAUCUUGGCUGCACUGAGAUGAGAUGGGUGCAACAACUGGCGGCGUUUGACUUUCAGCUAGAUUUCAAACCAGGCAAGAAGAAUAAAGCCCCUGACGUCUUAUCAAGAUUGAAACUGAGAAGUUCGUCCGAAGUUCCAGAUGACCAGAUCACAUAGGUGUCCUCAUGUGCCAUGCAAGCCUGCGUGGGUGGUUGCACAGAGUCUGGUACAGAGAUACCCAAAAACUUAGUUCACCAAAUUCGAGUUACCAGUGAAGAAGGAAGGAAGUGUCUUCCUGGAUACAAUCCGGAGGAUCAUAGGAGACUACAGGAAGAAGAUGUCAUACUCAGGCGUAUUCUACUUGUAUGUAGAGAGAGCCGAAGACCCAAAGGAUGUGGCGUUACUGCUGAAGCACUGGGAUCAGCUACAUUUUAAGCAAGGUGUCCUAUUCCGCCGUGGAGAAUUUUUGCGGGAAGACCAGGAGAUAGGCUUGUCACCCCGGCUGCCUUGGUCGACACAGUGCUGAUAUCCUUUCAUGAUGACUGUGGGCAUUUUGGGGCAAAGAGAACACUGCAACUAGUCCAACCAUUGUUCUUUUGGUUACGAAUGGAGGUUUCGGUCCACACUUGGUGCCAACAGUGCGAGAGAUGUGUAGUUAGGAAGAAACCAAUCAGACAAGCCCAUCCACCACUGGGAACCCUCAGAGCUACCGCGCCUUUAGAAGUAAUGGCAAUGGACUUUACCGUGUUGGAAACUUCCUCAGACGGCUACGAGAAUGUCCUUGUGUUCACGGACACAUUUACCAGGUUCGUUUGGGCUGUGCCGACCAAGAACCAGAAGGCCCACACCGUUGCAAAGGCGCUGAUAAAGUAUGUGAUAACACCAUUUGAGGCCCCUUUGAGGUUGCACUCCGACAAUGGACGGUGUUUUGAGUCACAAGUCAUCACUGAACUCUGCCAACUAUAUGGAAUUGGACGCUCACAAACGACCUCUUAUCAUCCCCAAGGGAAUGGGAUGUGUGAACGAUUCAAUCGCACCCUCCAUAACCUCCUCGUUACCUUGCCUUCACAAAAGAAAGUAAGGUGGACGGAGCAGCUCCCAUUCCUGGUAAUGGCGUAUAAUAACAGCAGACAUACAUCAACAGGCUACGAACCAUCGUUCUUGAUGUUCGGAAGAACGGCGAGGUUGCCUCAGCAUUUGCUCUUAAAUGUUGACCACAAUCCGGUUAGUGGGACAACUCAAGAUGUCUAUGUCAAGAAACACAAGGAAGGGUUGGAGAGGGCCAGACAGAUUGCAGUAAACAACCAAGACGAGGGCAGCGGAUCGACAAAUGUUCCAUAACCAGACCAUGUAUGAGAAGCCAAUUACCACUGGGGAGUAUGUCUUAGUGAGAGAUCGCUCACACCUAGGGCGCUCAAAAAUACAGGACUUUUGGGAACCAGAACCAUACAUGAUUGUGGAGUGUCCGUUUGAGGGCCAGCUCGUUUACAUUGUCCAGAAUUCCUGUGAUCAGCGAAAGGUUCUCCAUCGCUGCGAGAUCAAGCACUGCCCUUGGGACAUCAUGCGGUGGCAGGGGCAUUCCUCAUGUUUGCCGUCGCCUCCGUUGUUGGCCAGUCUACAACUGAAAUUUAAUUAGGGAAUUCAAGAAAUAACUACAGACUGUGAAACCAAGGAAAACAGGCUCGUGAUUGGCGGAAGACUGGACGCUUAAAAAACUGAAAGUGACAUGGCACUC